UGCAAGUCUGCUUUUGUGGUUGCCUGA
rnacentral:piRNA from 1 species